AUAUCAUUAGUAAUACAUUUAGUAACAUUAUUAUGAAUCAGUAUGUAACAUUAUUUUCAUUAUUAUUUUUUUUUCUUUCUCAUGACUUUAUUGAAGGUGAAUAAAUCCAAACUCCUAAAUCCUUGGGGGCACUCAUCUGUUUCCAUCUGAGUUUUUGGACCUUAAUGGAAUUUUAUCACUGGUCAUUUCUAAAAUUUCAUUCAUCCCCAAGCAUUUCGGGGACAAAUUUUAUCAAAUUUAUUCCAGUGCCAGUUUGAUAGACCCCUGCUACUUCACUAGUACAUGGGCUAUCCCCCAGGCAGACCCUUGCACUACCUGGCUGCCGAUGAGACGCCUAGUCUCAUCACCUAAGUGGAGAACCCUCGCUUCACAUUCCCCGGCUGGCGCAUUGUCGGGCAGGCAGGUUCUUCCUUACACUGAAGGUUGCAAGCUGACUUGCUCAGGCAGGAACUCAAAAUUCCGUUUGUAUGCUGAGUGUUUCUCAAGGGCCAAAAUUAAAUGAUUUUUUAAUAAAUAUUAUUAUUUAUUCUAACUGUCUUUCUGCUUUAAGCCAGUAUGAUUUGCUGAGACUAUGUUUUGGUUUACACACAGAAACCCCUUAUAUUUGCCUUGUUUGCAUUUUGUUUUGGAGCAGUUAUUUGGUCUUUUUUGCUCAUUUAUGUGGGCUAGCUAUCAAAUUGCCAUGCUGACUUUAAUUGAGAUUUGCUAUAUCAGGAUCCCUCAACAGUUACACAAACAAAAGAUUACACAACCUCCUACUGAAACUACAGAAAUAAUAUUCCCACUAUGAGACUACAAGAAAUAUAUAAUAAGAGUCUACAAGAAAAUACAAUAGAACAUUACAAGAAACUACAAUAUGAGACCACAAGAAAAUACAAUAUGAG
rnacentral:lncRNA from 1 species